ACCGAAUAGGGGAGCCGAAGGGAAACCGAGUCUUAACUGGGCGUUAAGUUGCAGGGUAUAGACCCGAAACCCGGUGAUCUAGCCAUGGGCAGGUUGAAGGUUGGGUAACACUAACUGGAGGACCGAACCGACUAAUGUUGAAAAAUUAGCGGAUGACUUGUGGCUGGGGGUGAAAGGCCAAUCAAACCGGGAGAUAGCUGGUUCUCCCCGAAAGCUAUUUAGGUAGCGCCUCGUGAAUUCAUCUCCGGGGGUAGAGCACUGUUUCGGCAAGGGGGUCAUCCCGACUUACCAACCCGAUGCAAACUGCGAAUACCGGAGAAUGUUAUCACGGGAGACACACGGCGGGUGCUAACGUCCGUCGUGAAGAGGGAAACAACCCAGACCGCCAGCUAAGGUCCCAAAGUCAUGGUUAAGUGGGAAACGAUGUGGGAAGGCCCAGACAGCCAGGAUGUUGGCUUAGAAGCAGCCAUCAUUUAAAGAAAGCGUAAUAGCUCACUGGUCGAGUCGGCCUGCGCGGAAGAUGUAACGGGGCUAAACCAUGCACCGAAGCUGCGGCAGCGACACUAUGUGUUGUUGGGUAGGGGAGCGUUCUGUAAGCCUGUGAAGGUGGCCUGUGAGGGUUGCUGGAGGUAUCAGAAGUGCGAAUGCUGACAUAAGUAACGAUAAAGCGGGUGAAAAGCCCGCUCGCCGGAAGACCAAGGGUUCCUGUCCAACGUUAAUCGGGGCAGGGUGAGUCGACCCCUAAGGCGAGGCCGAAAGGCGUAGUCGAUGGGAAACAGGUUAAUAUUCCUGUACUUGGUGUUACUGCGAAGGGGGGACGGAGAAGGCUAUGUUGGCCGGGCGACGGUUGUCCCGGUUUAAGCGUGUAGGCUGGUUUUCCAGGCAAAUCCGGAAAACCAAGGCUGAGGCGUGAUGACGAGGCACUACGGUGCUGAAGCGACAAAUGCCCUGCUUCCAGGAAAAGCCUCUAAGCAUCAGGUAACAUCAAAUCGUACCCCAAACCGACACAGGUGGUCAGGUAGAGAAUACCAAGGCGCUUGAGAGAACUCGGGUGAAGGAACUAGGCAAAAUGGUGCCGUAACUUCGGGAGAAGGCACGCUGAUAUGUAGGUGAAGCGACUUGCUCGUGGAGCUGAAAUCAGUCGAAGAUACCAGCUGGCUGCAACUGUUUAUUAAAAACACAGCACUGUGCAAACACGAAAGUGGACGUAUACGGUGUGACGCCUGCCCGGUGCCGGAAGGUUAAUUGAUGGGGUUAGCGGUAACGCGAAGCUCUUGAUCGAAGCCCCGGUAAACGGCGGCCGUAACUAUAACGGUCCUAAGGUAGCGAAAUUCCUUGUCGGGU
rnacentral:rRNA from 1 species